rnacentral:sRNA from 1 species
CCUCUCCAGCAAGGUCUGGCUUGGGUGGAGCCAGUCUUGCUCGUUAAGCUUUUGGACGCUGGAUUUCCAUCAGCUUUCCACAGUUUUCCAAUGACAGGAAAUAGCAGACAGCGGGCUUGAUGUGCUUGAAAGCUGCAAACAUGCCAAGGGACAAGUGUUAUUUGACAAAGUGUGUGAACACCUCAAUCUCUUGGAGAAAGACUACUUUGGACUUUUGUUUCAGGAAAGCCCUGAGCAGAAAAACUGGCUAGAUCCUGCUAAAGAAAUAAAGAGACAACUGAGAAACCUUCCCUGGCUAUUCACUUUUAAUGUGAAGUUUUAUCCUCCUGAUCCUUCUCAAUUGACUGAAGAUAUCACCAGAUACUUCUUGUGCCUUCAGCUCCGGCAGGACAUUGCCUCUGGCCGCCUGCCCUGCUCUUUUGUGACUCAUGCUCUCCUGGGAUCCUACACCCUGCAGGCUGAACUUGGUGACUAUGACCCAGAAGAACAUGGCAGCAUCGACCUCAGUGAAUUCCAGUUUGCCCCUACUCAGACUAAGGAGCUGGAAGAGAAGGUGGCAGAGCUGCACAAAACCCACAGGGGCUUAUCUCCAGCACAAGCUGAUUCCCAGUUCUUAGAAAAUGCAAAGAGGCUUUCCAUGUACGGUGUCGACCUACAUCAUGCC